rnacentral:tRNA from 1 species
GGCUCCGUAGUGAAAGAAGAUUCAUGUUGAGUUGCAAGCUCAUUGAUGUGCAUUAGAGGUUGCACCGGGGUCU